CUUUGCUGUGUGUAAUGUGGGGUAUCAGGGGAUAGAACGUGUUCCCAUGUGAGGGGUAUCGGAAUAGAACGUGUUCCUCCUCGCCGCCAAUGUGAUGCCUCCCUCAUCAUUCCUCCAUCGCUCUUCUUCAAAACAACCUGAGUCUCUCCACCAUGGACCUGCAGGUCUCUGCAGUCCUUGUGAAGUCUAAACAACUACACACAAACACGUCGUGAUUCAGAAUUCAUGUAACAGGAAAAUAUAGAAAGAAAGAAUGUUUGGCUUGAUGAUACAUCUGAUCCGUCAUCAUCGUAACCAUAUUUAAUAAAGGAAGGUCCAGAAAAACAUUUAGGAUAUUUUUGCUUUGAAAUGAGAAUUGAUAAUGAAUGUGUUGAAUAAUCUCUGCUGGUCUAAUAACAAUAGAAAUGUUGUAUAACAUCAGAGUAAAUAUGUGUAGCACACAGUAGCACACUACUACAUUGCCUACAGUUUCUUCCCUUUUUUCCCAAUGGAAGGGUUUUUCAUUUUUGGGGGAGUUUCUCCUGUGCCGAUGUGAGGGUUUUGGGACAGAGGAUGUCGCAUGUGUACAGACUGUAAAGCCCUCUGAGGCAAAUUGAAUUAAAUAUGUAGAUAAAGAAAUCUUCAAUAAACCAUAGACAUAAGAAAACAAGUAAAGGUUACAUUUAUUCCCAUAGUUAACGGUAAGGCCGUUUGCAUCGCCAGCUUGCGGGCAACCAGUAAAUAUCCAGGUUGAUUAUUUAUUUAUUUACUUUUGAUGUAAAAAACAAUAGCAAGCCUACACAGAACAAUGUGGUGCAGUUGAAAACAUUUACAAAGUUAGAAUAAUAUAGGGGAAAAAAAGAAUUGGACAGAUCCCCACUCUAUGAAGAGUGGAAAUGGGUUUCUAUAGUUGGGAAUGCAUCCCUCUCAACAGAGAUGACAUCCAGCCAAUCCAAAGACGACGUUUGUAACCAAUCAGAUGUAGAGGUUCCAUGUCCCCGAAAGGACCUUUUCUCGUGAAAGAGGGACUUUUGCUUGCAAAUGUUUGAUUUAGACCUGAUUUGCUCUCGGACUUUGACAUUGAGUUGCCUUCAUAGAGACAGUUAUAUGGCAACAACGGUUAUAUGAGAACAAAGCCACACACAUCAGCGGGAUCAAUCUGCCUGCGGCUGGUUAGCCAGCUACUGGGAGAUUAAUGUUACGCGUUUAUAAAACAGAAGGGAAAAGAAUAUCUCGUACUGUGCGUGUCAGCCAAAUGUUUUUCUCUGCAGUUUAUAAAGAUAGUUUCAACAACUCAGACAAAAGACAAUGCUUUAAUUCAACAUAAAUGAAUGAAAUCAAAUAAAACUGCUUUAAGUUUUUUGUAACAGCUUUACAAAACAUACUGAAACGACAUGCAUUCAUUUAGGUAAAAAGUACAUCAGCUACAGGCAAUAUUAAUGGUCAGUAAUGGUUAACACUGGUAGUAGAUAAUUAGUGUUUCAGAGUAAUUGUCCCAUUGUUUUGAUUGCAGUUGAGGGACAAGAGGAGUGAAGAGGAGGUUUCCUUCCUGAAAACUUAAACAUGUUUAAUAAGUGCAGCUCUGCAGUUUAAAUACUGCAGUGGAAAACAAAUACAAAAAGGCUCCUGUUUAAGUAAAAAUAAUGAAUUUUCUGCCAUCGAGGGGUGAAACCAUCAGCCGCGCUGAGCCCGGGGAGUGGAGAGGCCUCAUUUCAUUCCUCCAGAUGACGGUGCAGAGUCGGAAAACCAGCAGGACGCACGCCAACACCAGCAGUACCACUGAUUAGACACAAAAGAAGUCAAGACAAAGGAAUCACAACAGUGAGCAUUUAAAGUAUUAAAAUGAAUAUAAUUUCAGUGAGUACAGGAAGGCAGCAGGUAAAUAUGGUGAAAUUAUAUCUGUCAAGCUGACUGUGGUGUAAUAAUAAUCUGGAUUUCUGACAUUCUUAUUCAUGGAAGUGACAUUGAUACUGUUGUUUUUAUGGCAUUUCUGUGCUUAACUUUAGAUUGGGUGUUUUAUUUUCAUAAGAAAACGGUUUCUAUCACAUAGGUUGUUUUUCUGUGCACCAUGAAUCCUUUCUGAAGUAGCAUAUCCCGGUUAUGUUAUUACAUGCCGGACUGCUUUUUGAAGGCCAGAGAGGAGUACAUGUGCACGAGAGAGGUCUGCUUGCAUCCACUAAAAUGCAUCGUUGAGGCAAUGCUGGGUGUUUCUGCCCGUUAAAGAUGUGUCUUUGAUGUCCUGAUACGUGUUCCUGCUGCAGUCGAGUUUUGGUUGUAAUUGUGUGUGGGGCCUGAUAGUAGAACUUCUUUGGAUUAUACGUUUGCUUGUGUAAUCGGUUUGUUCACUCUGAACGUUUUGUGUCUUUACUUCCAGUUUUCACCAGCAUAGUAGUGAAAGAGUUCAAAUGAAAAGGUCAAAACUACGACUCUGUCUUCAUUUUCCGGGGUUAACUUAAUGUUUAAUCAGUCUUCCAAUAGCCGCGCAAGAAGAUUACGGAUUCAUUUUGUGUGGAUCGGUGUCAUCAUUUGUUCCUUCAGGGUUCAUCCACUGUGAGUCGGAUGAAAAGCAGCCGCCUGCUGGAAAGACGGGGUGGGGUUGGUGAAGUCACAGUUGCAGUGAUCCAGUGUCACACUCACCGACAAACACUGAAUUUGGGGUGGGAUCCGCAGGGUUAAAAUGUUUGAAGACGUUUCCAACCAGAGCCACGAUCACCACGGGGUACACGGUGAGGAUGUUACGCACCCAGCGGUCCAGCACCCAGUUCUCAAGCAGGAACCUGCACACAGGGACAAGCCUCAGCCAACUCGACCAUGUUCUCACGUGCACGGAUGGUGUUACAGCAAUCCCAUCCAACUGAAGUAUACGGAUACCAAACACUCAGACAGCUGCUGCAUUAACCAUCAUUGAAGCUCGUCCAAUCGAAGCUUACCAUCCCACCACCUCUGCAAACAAGAUGCACAGAGAAGCUGUUGCUGCUGUGCUCCUGGCCACACCCCACAGGUGAAGCACCAAUGAGAAGUUGAUCAGAGAAGCAAUGGAAAUCCAUGUGGUGUAGAGAGCCAAACCAUUCUGGACCUGAACAUAUGAACAUCGAUGAGCACAACAGUUACAUCAUUCACCUCGGACUUUCUUCCAAAUUGAGUCGUCAGCAAUACAGCGAAUGCAGAACAUGAAGCAUAUACACACACACACACACACACACACACACACACACACACUUACCAGUAUUCGUAGACAGUACAGGUCUUUCCUAUGGUAUGUCUGUAACCAGAGUCCAUAGUAAUCAGUGGCAAAGCAACAGAAGAACAAAGCAAUGUAGUUGGAAAUGGUCAUCAGGAUUAACACAACCAGAGCUGCUAGCAUCGACCUGGAGGACAGAGACACAGAGAGAGAGUCAGCAGAUGUUUCCUCUGCACAUCUCAGUAGUAUUGUUCAUUGUUUAUCUUAGGCCUUGCCAGUCAGAUCAACGUAUACCAUUGCCGGUAGAAUAUUGUGCACCAUUUCAAUAAAGUAAGUAGUUAUUAUCUCUGAGCUGGUUUAUGGUUUAUGAAUUUCUUUUAAUAUUUUCCCCUUUGUUUAUUUAAGAAAUGUGUUCAUUCAACAAAUGAUUUUCCUUUUUAUUAAUGAUUUCUCAUUAUUUAAUAUAUUUAUUAUUUUG
ensembl:lncRNA